UGCACCGAAAGCAAACAUCAUCAUCAUUCAUAAUCUGCAUAUUUGCUUGCUGAUGUUAAAGAGUAUUGGGAAAAUAACACAUUCCUACACAUAAGUGCUUCACAAAAAGGCAGAUUCCCACAUCCCCUGGUGGAUUUAACAGGCUGGGAAAAUUGAAUUGGGGGUGACCACCAGGCGUGGACCCCUACUCUCCUUUUCCUUACACCCGCUCUCCUCCCUCUCCCCACAGCAGGAGCUGCCAUGCAGAGCGAGCUAGCCAUCCAUGAGCUGGGCAGUGGCCUUGUCUAAAUUGGCAUCCGGCCCGGUGAGACUGGCGGAAACCUUCCAUGUGUGGCCCUUUCUGAGGGGUUACAGUUAGACGAAGGACUGUGGUGUGUGUGGGGUGGAAGUGACGGCAGUUUGAGAGUGGACUGGAUCGAGGAUUAAAGGGGACAUAUCGUGCACAUUUCCAGAUACAGACACACGCCUCUUAUCUAUGAAACGUCUUUGAGCAAGGUCAGCGGCAGCACUGAGGAAGGGAAUACGUCGAACGCAACAAAAGAUGGGAGGAAGAAGAGGAGGAGGUCCCCGGGCCUCCCACAGGGGGGUCUCAACUACCCCUCUCCCUCCUCUCACCAACCCCGCUCUGCCCCCACCUCACUUCCCUCCAAAAUCCCUGUGGAGGAGUCGCUCCCCGUGGCGGGACAAAGCCUGACAAGCCAGACGUGCCGCACCUCAAACACGAUUUUGAACCCCGGACACAAAAACACUCCCGAACAUAUCAAAACAUAUUUUUUUCCCCUCUUCAUCUCCACAUCUCAACACAUAAAUCCAUGUGUUUUUGUUUAUCGGGAUCUCAGUGUGUUUGGGAACAUACUGUAGCUUAUUCAUCAUGUAUACAUUACAAAAGCCAAAUGAAACCUUUAUUUUUUUCCCCUUUUUCUUUUAUUUUAUUGCCUUCAAACACAUGAAGGACACAGAAUGUACUACUGCUAAGGGCCAAAUGUAAAGAAACAGACACCAAGUCUGAAAAAAAACAGUCUAGUUCACCUCCUUAAAGCUAAUGAAACAGAGUUUUGGUUGAAUUUGGAGAGGUUUUGAGAUCUCUGCCACUGAGACUUCUGCUAAUGUCCCAGUAGCGAUGAGGUGAAAGGCAUUUUUGGCACAUUUUGGGUGCAAAAA